GGUCGACGCUAGAGGAGGAGGAGCCGAGAGGGUGCCGCCGGCUGACAAGCGGCUUCCUCCGCUUCUGUUUGGGCGACGCGGAAGCGCUGUCUCAGGCGCUGUCCGUUUGGCUUGAGGAUGGUGUGGUUGGAUCUCCUUGCAGUCCAAGGGACUCUCAAGAGUCUUCUCCAACACAAGGUCCAGAGAAAUAUUCCUCAAAGGAGUCUUUCCAGUGAAGAAAAACUGACUGACGUUAUCAGCAAGGCUGGACCUUUCAUCAUACACAAAUGACCAAUGAGACAAACUUCACUUCUGAUUCAACAGCCCUGGGAGAGACUGGACUAGUGGGAAGUUGACAGGAGGACUGCACUCUGGGCAGUGGAGGAGACUGCCAGAGGACACAUCUUCGCUAGACGAUGCUUUAACAUCGACUCUACCUUCCAGGACUUCUCCUUCUGAAGUCAUAACAGAAAAUGGGAGGACAAGCAAUGACGAGGUCCAAGAAAGGAUCAUUAAUACCACACCUGCCAGAGGUUAUAUCUGUUCCUGAGGCAGAAUGGACAAAAGGUCUUGCUUUGAAGCUAAAAACAGGGAAAAUCAGGAAUGGAUGGUUCAUGUCAUCUUCCUUCCUUUUUUUCUGUUGGCGUCUCUGAAUACAACAGGCAUAUUUUUCAGGUUCUGGUGUUACAUGCUCAGCUCAGUGAACCCACAACGGUGAGUUAGAAAAGAGCAGGAUAAACUGUUUUCCCAGCAGUUCAAGUUCGCCAAGCUAACUCAAAAAAAGCAACCUCAAAGAGUUACUCUUCCAAUACUCUUCAGUUACUAAUUAAAGUCAAGUACAGCACAGUUUCUGCCUAAUCUCUCAUAUUUCUUGUACCCAAACGGAAACGCUCACCAUA